UAGAUCAAGCGAGGAUUAAACGGGGAGCAAAGAAGCCCGGUCAUCCUUUGAGCGGCUGCUGCGCUUAAAAGUCACCCGCCACCCACUCUCUCUCUCUCUCUCUUUCUCUCUCAUUUUCUCCUUUCCUCUCUCUCUCUCUGAUUGCCAUCAUCCUUUUUUCCUUACUUACUCCCCAUCUCUCUCGCCCUCCCUCCAUCCCCGCCUCCCUUCCUCGUCUCUUUUUUCCGCUCCUCUUUCUCUGCGUAAUUGCUGCUGCAUUUCGCUUCGCAGUCCUGUCUAACAUCGCAGGAAUCUGAUUUUGUCACAGAUCAAAAACAAAAAAAAGAAAGAAAAAAAACAUAGGAAGAACUUGGCAGCUCUCAGAGGAGAUUUUAAUUAUGAUUUGGCAUCAGUCUGCGUUUAUGGGAUAAAAUGGACGUUGUUGAUCAAGGCUCUGUUGGAAGGAGGUAGAGAUGGAGGGAGAUUCGAGCAAACGAGGGAGGGAGGGAGAUUCCGGAGCUGGUCAAAAACCCGCCAUUCUCAGCUACUUGCUGACAAGCCACGCGAGCCGGGACCCCACACUGAAAGCAGGCCGCCUGGCUUCCCACAGAAUUUUCCCUAAAAAAAUAAAAAAUGUAAAAACCAAAACAUC